rnacentral:sRNA from 1 species
UCAUGUAUCCGGCCAAUAAGACUAGAAUAGAAUUGUACCACAACUCUAAGCUACAAAGCAAGCCAAGAGAAGAAAUAAGUAAAAAUAGUUUUACACCAAAAUUAUGUAUGCAUCCGCAAACUUCCUCUCUCUCUAUCAGUGCAGCAGUGCAAUUGUCUUGAAAAUCACUUUUGAGUUCAUUUUAAUUUUUAAGCUUAGUACUUAAUUUGUGAAAAUAUAUAAUAAAACAUAUUCUUUGACAUAUAGCUGAUAACAAGGAAGAUGAUUUACCAAACCAUAAUGCCAGAGGAUAUCGAGAGCUUUAUUACAGGCAAUAUAUCCUUGAAAGCGGCCGUGCUGAAUCCUGUCCAAGUUUGAGGGCACCAUCCACCAAAUAUGUAUGCAAAUUCUCCAAACACAACAAACCAGGAUGAUAUGCAUAGUGCACCCAUCGCCCCAUCAACUCCCCAGUUCAAAUGGUUAACAAACAGCCAGGACAAGGGAACGUGUAUUAUAAUUUGCAGAAUGGAUAUCCAGGCAACAAAAUUGUUCUUUUGCUGCGCUUGUAGAUACAUUUGCAUCGUCAAUGUAAAAACAAAAUUGUAGACCAUCGGAAUAAACCACCACGAGAUGUACCCUGCUGAUCUGGCAAUGCCUUCUUCCUCACCGAGUAGUCUAAAGAGGGGCAUCCCAAAGAUAAAAAUAGGGAGAAAGAUAGUCGAAGUUAUGAAAUCAACAAUCCAUGAUCUUUGCAAAUAAAUACCCAUCAUAUGGUACUGUCUUGCUCCAUAUGCUUGUCCACAAAGUGUUUCAGUUGCACUUGACAUGCCUAUCUGUAGCAUGGAAAUUAUAACAUUUUAAAAUUUGGUACAAAUUCUAUUGCAUAGCCCAGAUCCAAGUGCCAAACUUCCAUUAAAUAAAUUGGUCGAGAGGUUUCCAUAUUCCAAUGUGGGAAUGGAAACUUUCCAUUUUUCAAGUUGAACACGUACAUAUUCGGUUUUAAUUUCUCAUUCAUCCAAACGUGGUUUUGAGAUAAACAAAUUAUAACAUGAACAUCUCCUCAUAGAGGAGAACGCAUAUGUCCUGAGAUAACAAAAUCAGGUAAUGGGACUCACUCGCUACAUAAACUAAACCAUUUUUCCAACAUUAUAUGCAUCUGUCUUUAUUGAAAUGGCAGAUUCUUUAGUCUCAGUCUGCUAUAACCGCCUCUUGCAGACCUUAUAAAUUUUCCAAGACUUGCACUGGGCUGACAUUUUAUCAUGUAAGUGCAUCGACCUUGAUUUUACCUCAAAUUAACCAGCAAGAUUUAGCAAAUUUACGAACAAUAAAUGAAAGGACAUAGAACAAGAAGUUACCAGUAUUCCAUUGAUAAACCGCACGCUAAGAGUUUGAACAAGUGCAUAACCAGCAAGAUCUAAUGAAUUUAAGUGUCCAAUAAAUGAUUGUGUCACUAUUAUGGUUCCGAAUGAAGCCACUCGCGCUAUAAUUCCAGGCAAUGCUACCCUCCAUAUCUUCUUGGAUUCUUCGUAAACCUUCCCUUUCAGACCGCCCACUUCUUUUCCUUCCGAACCAGAACGAAGCAGUCUCUCUUGAAUGCCAUUAUCCAUGGCUCUACAAUGACGAGAAAUCAAAAACUCAUCAAAAAAAUUUAUUCAACUCUCCAAAAAAGCCUAUUAUGUUAUAUUUCAUAAGGAUGCACAUUUCUAUGCUAAGGUGAUAACUUACUUAAAUGCCUCGAUUUGAAGUCAUAAACAAUAUCAGUUUCAUCAUGAGUGAAGUAUCCUGUUUUCUGUAUAAAUGCACAAUCAAACGGCUUCCAUUUAUACAAACCAUUCCAGUACUUGAUACUAUAUCAAAUUAUCAAGAGUUUCCUAAGGAUCAGUUCUAUGUUUUAGGAAUGAUUUCUCAUCAUUAUUUUCCUCCUAAUUUAUUUUCAUUACAGGUAGAGCUCCAUAUUAAGUUGUUAGAAGAAUGAAUUUCCCACAUAAAAGAGCCAUUUGUCCAGGUAUCAGAACCAAACGAAAUCAAUUUCCAGAGUUUGAUUAAUCUUAACUUGAAUAUACAAUAGUAAACGUCUUUCUACACUCUUUGGCGGCAUAAAUAUGUUUAAAGAAUUUUUUACUCAUCAGCCCCGAAGUCAAGAUUUAAAGAAGCAACAAAGUAGUAUUUCCCAUUUCCC